UCAGGAAAAAGGAAGGAAGAGAUGAGGAUGUGUGUAUUAUAUCUUGAAAUUGAUAACAGGAAGCCAGAUAGGAAAGGCUGGGGAAGGUUCUAGGCAUAAAUUCUAUGCGGCGAAGUAGCAAGGAAAAGACAGAAUAAUGUUAGAGAAAGGAUGCUUCUCCUUAUUCUAAUCAAGUCCUUUUUUUCAGUUAAACCCACAUGACAUCCAGGUCUCCAGCUAUGGAUACUACUGGCUAGCUGUGAGAACAGGAAUGUGAGGCCCAGGAGGAGGAAGAAGAAGGUUUGAGGGGCCAUUGCUGCAGCUUUCCUCAGUGGUGCAAAAUAAUCAUAAUGGAAUUUACCUAUCCUAGAUGAAGCAUUAGGAAUCCUGGGGGAGAGCAGCCGGAGCUCCCAGCAAGACCUGUAGAAGGUUACAAAAGGUGAUGCUGACGCUCCUGCUCCUGACUCAGGGAGACUUCAAGCAGAAGUAGGAGCCUACAUCACAUCUUCCUGCGGAGACUGAGGCAUGAUGUUGCCAGCAAGGACAAGAGAAGAGUCCUUUUCACACUUUACCAAGAGUUCUGAUACAUCUGAUUAUUGUAUGCAUUGUGUACUGUGGUGUAUUUAAAACUGUGUUACAAUUGUAAGCUGUCACUUUAAAUUUUAAUAUUUUUUCCCCUGGUCCUGGUUUCAAGCUAUGGGGCUCUGCAGGGAAGUGGGCAGUAGUCAGUUUGCAGCCAGCCAGCCAGUCUAGAGUAAAGUGGUGUGAGUUGUGCCUGGGGGAGCAACCUGCUUUUUCUCUCUCUCUGUUUCUGUACUUGUAUGCUAUUGUUCUGAAUUUGAAGAAAUAAAGUAGUUUUACAUUGCCACCUUCCAGCAGAGUAUU